rnacentral:rRNA from 1 species
GACGAACGCUGGCGGCGUGCCUAAUACAUGCAAGUUGAGCGAUGAAGAUUGGUGCUUGCACCAAUUUGAAGAGCAGCGAACGGGUGAGUAACGCGUGGGGAAUCUGCCUUUGAGCGGGGGACAACAUUUGGAAACGAAUGCUAAUACCGCAUAACAACUUUAAACAUAAGUUUUAAGUUUGAAAGAUGCAAUUGCAUCACUCAAAGAUGAUCCCGCGUUGUAUUAGCUAGUUGGUGAGGUAAAGGCUCACCAAGGCGAUGAUACAUAGCCGACCUGAGAGGGUGAUCGGCCACAUUGGGACUGAGACACGGCCCACACUCCUACGGGAGGCAGCAGUAGGGAAUCUUCGGCAAUGGACGAAAGUCUGACCGAGCAACGCCGCGUGAGUGAAGAAGGUUUUCGGAUCGUAAAACUCUGUUGGUAGAGAAGAACGUUGGUGAGAGUGGAAAGCUCGUAAAGUGACGGUAACUACCCAGAAAGGGACGGCUAACUACGUG